CGGGGGGGAGCAAGCGUUGUUCGGAAUUGCUGGGCGUAAAGGGCGCGUAGGCGGCCUAGUAAGUCGAGUGUGAAAUGCCGGGGGCUCAACCCCGUGCACUGCAUUCGAUACUGCCCUGGCUAGAGAAAGGUAGAGGCGAGCGGAAUUCCCGGUGUAGCGGUGGAAUGCGUAGAUAUCGGGAAGAACACCUGUGGCGAAGGCGGCUCGCUGGGCCUUAUCUGACGCUGAAGCGCGAAAGCGUGGGGAGCAAACAGGAUUAGAUACCCUGGUAGUCCACGCCGUAAACGCUGGGUACUAGGUGUCGGGAGGCUUGGCCCUCUCGGUGUCGACGCUAACGCAUUAAGUACCCCGCCUGGGGAGUACGGUCGCAAGGCUG
rnacentral:rRNA from 1 species